GAACAUGUGGUAGAGUCUGGUUUAUUACGGACGUUUUGAAAACGUCAAUCUUUUUAGGAUACCGAGGUUCGAAUCCUCGCAUGUUCG